rnacentral:rRNA from 1 species
UACGAAGGGGGCUAGCGUUGCUCGGAAUUACUGGGCGUAAAGGGCGUGUAGGCGGUCUAAUAAGUUAGGUGUGAAAUCUUCAGGCUCAACCUGAAAAGUGCACUUAAAACUGUUAAACUAGAGAGUGGUAGGGGAAAGCGGAAUUCCUAGUGUAGAGGUGAAAUUCGUAGAUAUUAGGAAGAACACCGGCGGCGAAGGCGGCUUUCUGGGCCAUUUCUGACGCUGAGACGAGAAAGCGUGGGGAGCAAACAGG